UAAUACGGAGGGUGCAAGCGUUGUUCGGGAUUACUGGGCUUAAAGCGCGUGCAGGCGGAAUAUCAGGUGUCAUGUGAAAGCCCCGGUCUCAACCCGGGAACUGCCUGGCAAACCGGUAUUCUUGAGGCAAGUAGAGGUGAGUGGAACAACUGGUGGAGCGGUGAAAUGCGUAGAUAUCAGUUGGAACGCCGGAGGCGAAAGCGGCUCACUGGGCUUGUUCUGACGCUGAGACGCGAAAGCGUGGGUAGCAAACAGGAUUAGAUACCCUGGUAGUCCACGCCGUAAACGAUGCGCACUAGGUAUGGGAGGUUCUGACGCCGACCGUGCCGAAGCAAAAGUGUUAAGUGCGCCGCCUGGGGAGUACGGCCGCAAGGCUA
rnacentral:rRNA from 1 species